rnacentral:rRNA from 1 species
GCUUUUGAUGGGCGUCGACCGGCGCACGGGUGAGUAACGCGUAUCCAACCUGCCCACCACUUGGGGAUAACCUUGCGAAAGUAAGACUAAUACCCAAUGACGUCUCUAGAAGACAUCUGAAAGAGAUUAAAGAUUUAUCGGUGAUGGAUGGGGAUGCGUCUGAUUAGCUUGUUGGCGGGGUAACGGCCCACCAAGGCGACGAUCAGUAGGGGUUCUGAGAGGAAGGUCCCCCACAUUGGAACUGAGACACGGUCCAAACUCCUACGGGAGGCAGCAGUGAGGAAUAUUGGUCAAUGGACGCAAGUCUGAACCAGCCAAGUAGCGUGCAGGAAGACGGCCCUCUGGGUUGUAAACUGCUUUUAUAAGGGAAUAAAGUGAGUCUCGUGAGACUUUUUGCAUGUACCUUAUGAAUAAGGACCGGCUAAUUCCGUGCCAGCAGCCGCGGUAAUACGGAAGGUCCGGGCGUUAUCCGGAUUUAUUGGGUUUAAAGGGAGCGUAGGCCGGAGAUUAAGCGUGUUGUGAAAUGUAGACGCUCAACGUCUGCACUGCAGCGCGAACUGGUUUCCUUGAGUACGCACAAAGUGGGCGGAAUUCGUGGUGUAGCGGUGAAAUGCUUAGAUAUCACGAAGAACUCCGAUUGCGAAGGCAGCUCACUGGAGCGCAACUGACGCUGAAGCUCGAAAGUGCGGGUAUCGAACAGGAUUAGAUACCCUGGUAGUCCGCACGGUAAACGAUGGAUGCCCGCUGUUGGUCUGAAUAGGUCA